UCCAAACACUCAGAAAUGCAAGUAUUGAAGACAAGUAUGACCUAUUUGUCAGCAUUUGUAUCCUACCAGUGUCCACUGUCCGGCUCCAGCAGCCCGAGUCCAGCAGCACAAGGCAUCUCUGGUCCUUAUGCCCUGCAGAGAAAUCAAAGAAUCCAAGAGCAAGGCCUGGAAUGCCUGGCUGCCUCCCAGCUCUCUUACGAAGAAGUAAAUUCCAUUGUAGUCUCCGGCUCCUUUCCGCACUCUUGGAAUACUGUACGCCAGACCCUCUCUCCCUCCGACAAGCGACUGCUCGGCCACAGCAGGAAGCACAGAAAUCUUAAAACGUAAACUCAGAGUGCUCCCCACAUUUAUUUUCUACCGUCUUACCCGUCUGUCCCGCCAGAGACUGCAGGCGUCGUGACUUUCUCCAUGCUCUGGACUGUCGCAUGGUCCCUGUUGCUAGUGGCUCUUUGAACUGAUCCCAAGCCCAUGUCAGAAAAGCCCUUGAUCGAUUCCCAGUGCCAUCCUGAACAGCAGAUUGGGAUAUCGCACCUUUAAACCGCACGGCCUGGUAAACAAUACAGCAUGUACUCAGCUUCAUAAACACUCCGCGUUGUUACAAAGGGCAUUGCAAACUCAGUGUGAUAGGACUUGACCUUAAAAGCUAUAGACAAUCUAGCGGAGCACAGACGGUUUCAUAAAGUACAAUCACUUCCUGGAAUUCUUGGGCCAGUGCAGUCGGAGCCGUUCAAAUCCUGUUUUCCUUGCAUUGUUUCCUGCAUGUGAAUAUCAUCAGUCUAGCUGGACUGUAACCAUGGCACUUGUAAACAGCCCAGGGGCGACUUCUGAUAAAGGCAUACAGUUUUAAGAAAAAAAAUUUUUUUUUCUCUUAAAGACAAGCCCGAAUCAAACCCUACAAAUGCCAUCUGUCAACUACAAAGCUGACAAAUUGCAGUUUCAAGAGUGCACACAUCCAGACCCAGAGAUGUUUUUAAGUCACCAAAGGAGUCAAAACAGAUGCCCAUACUAUUGAGAGUAGUGUGAACGGGUUUUCACUUUUUAGAAUGUAGAUUUACACAAAUCCCGUAGAGAGGGAGCUGAUGGACACUGACCGGAAUCCUAAGUGAUUCUUUCCAUAGUAUUUUUCUCCUCCAGUGAAUGAGAUUGGGAAAUCAUAAUUGUUCAGUCCUUCAGUUUCUCUGAUCAGUGAUAGGAAGAGAAGAUAUUGAUGUAAACCCCUUGAAAUACUUAGCUUAAGACUGUUACUCUCUAGGAGUUUGACAUCACUGUUGGGCAAUUACAUUCCAGCUGUAUUUGGUACUUGAUGGGUUCCAAUUUAUACUUAGAGAUGAUAUUAAGGGGCAGACAGGCCAAAAUAGACCACUGUAACCUCACAGAAAAUCAAUCCAAAGAUAUACUUUCCAGAUUCGCUAUAAAUGUAUAAAAUUUGCACCUGGUGAAUUAAUCUUGAUUCUUCAGGCUUCUGCAUGAUUGAAAUGUUGGUUGAGCUGACGUUGUAAGUUAAAAAUUUUUAGCAGAUUUAAUAUAUGAUGGCUAUUGAACACGAUACUGACAACAGUAUUUUAAGCUUCUGAGAAGGAUUCCUUAGGGGAGGAAUAAAGAAAAGAGAAGCUCAUAAAACUCUCA
rnacentral:lncRNA from 12 species